rnacentral:rRNA from 1 species
GACGAACGCUGGCGGCGUGCUUAACACAUGCAAGUCGAACGGAAAGGCCCUGCUUUUGUGGGGUGCUCGAGUGGCGAACGGGUGAGUAACACGUGAGUAACCUGCCCUUGACUUUGGGAUAACUUCAGGAAACUGGGGCUAAUACCGGAUAGGAGCUCCUGCUGCAUGGUGGGGGUUGGAGAGUUUCGGCGGUGGGGGAUGGACUCGCGGCUUAUCAGCUUGUUGGUGGGGUAGUGGCUUACCAAGGCUUUGACGGGUAGCCGGCCUGAGAGGGUGACCGGCCACAUUGGGACUGAGAUACGGCCCAGACGCAUACGGGAGGCAGCAGUGGGGAAUAUGGCACAAUGGGCGGAAGCCUGAGGCAGCAACGCCGCGUGCGGGAUGACGGCCUUCGGGUUGUAAACCGCUGUCGCCUGUGACGAAGAGUGAGUGACGGUAAUGGGUAAAGAAGCACCGGCUAACUACGUG